CACUGUAGGUAGCUGCCGGCCGGCCCCGUCCGGCGAUUAGAGGCCAUGCUAUCGCACAACUUACGGUGCUCGAGCAGCAGCAGGAUGGCAUGCAUGUUAUCGCACAACUUGUGUGGUGUAACACACGAGGGCCCAGGGCAGGCAGCCUUUAUAGUUAUCAAAAUAAAGCAUAGGUCUACAGGCUACACAGUACCCCUACCACACGUACUAGGCGUGGCCGGUGCUCAGCUCAGCUCAGCACCCGGCCGCCAGCCGCCGCACAGCUCAGCUCACUAGUUCAGUCACCGACUCACCGGUGCAAAAAAAAAAAAAAAAAAAACAGAAGAUCGGGCAAAAGGCUCUGCUAAAAAAUCUCAGAAGUUUGUCUUGGUCUCUUGGAUACGUCAUGCGUUACUGGCUACGUGCAUGGUGCAUAUCCGGGGGGUUCUUCUUUUUGCGCUAGCUGUGUCCUCCUGUGGACUCUUGUGCUAGCACUGCUGCACUACCAGCAGUCUACAGCAAAAGACCAAGGCGCUGCUGUAGGUGGGUGGAGCGAG
rnacentral:lncRNA from 7 species